rnacentral:rRNA from 1 species
AACGAACGCUGGCGGCAGGCUUAACACAUGCAAGUCGAGCGCCCCGCAAGGGGAGCGGCAGACGGGUGAGUAACGCGUGGGAAUCUACCCAUCUCUACGGAACAACGCAUGGAAACGUGUGCUAAUACCGUAUACGUCCUUCGGGAGAAAGAUUUAUCGGAGAUGGAUGAGCCCGCGUUGGAUUAGCUAGUUGGUGGGGCAAAGGCCUACCAAGGCGACGAUCCAUAGCUGGUCUGAGAGGACGAUCAGCCACACUGGGACUGAGACACGGCCCAGACUCCUACGGGAGGCAGCAGUGGGGAAUAUUGGACAAUGGGCGAAAGCCUGAUCCAGCCAUGCCGCGUGAGUGAUGAAGGCCCUAGGGUUGUAAAGCUCUUUCACCGGUGAAGAUAAUGACGGUAACCGGAGAAGAAGCCCCGGCUAACUUCGUGCCAGCCGCCGCGGUAAUAC